rnacentral:rRNA from 1 species
AUUGAACGCUGGCGGCAGGCCUAACACAUGCAAGUCGAGCGAGAGGCGGACGGGUGAGUAAUGUAUGGGGACUGCCCGAUAGAGGGGGAUAACUACUGGAAACGGUAGCCAAUACCGCAUACUAUCGGAUAACCCAUAUGGGAUUAGCUAGUAGGUGAGGUAAUGGCUCACCUAGGCGACGAUCCCUAGUUGGUCUGAGAGGAAGAUCAGCCACACUGGGACUGAGACACGGCCCAUACCCCGACGGAGGCAGCAGUGGGGAAUAUUGCACAAUGGGCGCAAGCCUGAUGCAGCCAGACCGCGUGUAUGAAGAAGGCCCUAGGGUUGUAAAGUACUUUCAGUCGGGGGGCGUUACCGACAGAAGAAGCACCGGCUAACUCCGUGCCAGCAGCCGCGGUAAUUC